UGUUGGAGCAGUGGGAUCUGCAGCGCCAGCACAGUCUCUCAGCUUCUUCCAGUCUCAAUGCGGGGAACUCGAGCUGAACUUGAUCCCUUUGCAGUUCAAACAGUUAAGAACGUUGGUGACAGAGCAGGGUGGCAGGGAUAGUAUUUGGGGGUCCCUUAAGUGGCUUAAGCCUUUUAAAAAUGAAGACUGGCAAAAAAACCUGGAGAGAAAUAUAAAGCACUAAGUACACGGGAAAGAGAGAAAGUGACUCAAGAACUCCACCAAGGGACAAACAGUGGAAAUGACACCCGACAUCUCCAAACGCAGUGACCUUUCAUCUUUAAGGAAAGGUUUUCUUCCAGGCCCUCUUCCAGGUGCUGCGGGCUGUUCCUACGUCAUCAGCGAUUGUCCUAGCUACUUUUGGUAAGUCUCAUGGAAGAAGUGGAAAAGUCGGCAGUAUUAGGACCUGGAUAAGAUGCUCAGGAGUGAUGGAAUGCCAUCAGGAGUUGGAGAGGGGAGAACUUCCUCACUAUUUGAGGCACCAGAGAUGUACAGGGAUAACACAAAUGUUCUUCAUGAAUAAAUAUCCAUCCAGGAACAAGUGUCCAGAUUCUUGAGAAAAUAGUGCAUAGGACUUGAAUAAAUGUAGAAAUGUAUGAAGACUUCCAUAUAAGUCCAGAAGCUGGGAAUACAACUUCCUUGAAGAAAUUAAGACCAAAUUGGAUGCCCGGAAGUGUAAAUUGAACCAACAAGAAGGACACUCUCCAAACAGAUCAAGAAUGUUAGAAGACUAAGCAAGAGGAUAAAGAAAGAUAAGAAAGAUAGAGAGAGGGAGCAGAAGGCAGGGAAGAAAAGAGAGUGAGAGAGGAAGAUAAAGGGGCCUUGCAAUGAUAACAGAAGAAUUUCCACCUGCUAGACCAUCUGUCUCCUCACCAGCACCAUCAUCAGGAAAUAGAACCUUCAGGAGAGAGAGGAUCGGCAAGAUUAACCUGUUUUCUGUGACAUGGAGUAUAGUAUAAAGGAGAAGCUUGUGUGAGUGGAAGUUUAAGCCAGAUCUUAGAACAGUUCUCUCAUUGCUCUGUUUAUGUUUUACAGUAUAUUGGUCUUCACAGUAUCCGAAAGCGAUGGGGAAUCCCUGGAUUUUGCCAAUGUCUUCUUGAGUCCAGAUCAAUUAAGGGCUUUGGAGAGGAUUUCCAAAUCAUGGGAAAUGUCAGCUGUUUCACUCCUGCAAUAAAGUGGCAAUAAUAAAUACUUGAAACACAAAAGAAUCUAAUGAUUUAACAAAAUAAUUUUCAUCAUUAAUGUAGUAUUUUACAAUAACCUUAAGGUAGAAGACUUUACGAGGGGCUAGGUCACCAUAAUUAUCAAUGACAGAUAAUGGAAGCCAGAAGUGACACACAAGUUUCCAUUCCUGUUGGCCAUUUCUCCAUGACAUUUACAAAAUUGUUCCAUUGUAUAGUAAAGCAUUCCUUUCUGCCAUGUUUUCUUCAUGAGAUAUGAUAACUGACAAUGAUUAAUAACAUGUACCUUAAAUUUCACAUAAGUAGGAUUGUCCCUGUUACAAAGUUCUCCCUUCAUAUGAAUAUGGAUAGACUUUCCUAACAUACCCCAUCCUUUCUAUGAGGUCAAUAUAUCACUUGGUAAAGUUCUCUUUUCCUACACGAGGUAAUAAAAAUCCAUUUUCACA
rnacentral:lncRNA from 1 species